UGGGGAAUCUUCCGCAAUGGACGAAAGUCUGACGGAGCAACGCCGCGUGUAUGAUGAAGGUCUUCGGAUUGUAAAGUACUGUCAUUGGGGAAGAACGGUUUUCUUGAGAAUAUUGAGAAGACAUGACGGUACCCAAGGAGGAAGCCCCGGCUAACUACGUGCCAGCAGCCGCGGUAAUACGUAGGGGGCAAGCGUUGUCCGGAAAUUAUUGGGCGUAAAGGGCGCGUAGGCGGGCCUUUAAGUCCGGUGUGAAAGAUCAGGGCUCAACCCUGAGAGUGCAUCGGAAACUGGAGGCCUUGAGGACAGGAGAGGAAAGUGGAAUUCCACGUGUAGCGGUGAAAUGCGUAGAUAUGUGGAGGAACACCAGUGGCGAAGGCGACUUUCUGGACUGUAACUGACGCUGAGGCG
rnacentral:rRNA from 1 species